rnacentral:rRNA from 1 species
GAAGGUGUACUGUGAGGUAUGCUGGAGGUAUCAGAAGUGCGAAUGCUGACAUAAGUAACGAUAAAGCGGGUGAAAAGCCCGCUCGCCGGAAGACCAAGGGUUCCUGUCCAACGUUAAUCGGGGCAGGGUGAGUCGACCCCUAAGGCGAGGCCGAAAGGCGUAGUCGAUGGGAAACAGGUUAAUAUUCCUGUACUUGGUGUUACUGCGAAGGGGGGACGGAGAAGGCUAUGUUGGCCGGGCGACGGUUGUCCCGGUUUAAGCGUGUAGGCUGGUUUUCCAGGCAAAUCCGGAAAAUCAAGGCUGAGGCGUGAUGACGAGGCACUACGGUGCUGAAGCAACAAAUGCCCUGCUUCCAGGAAAAGCCUCUAAGCAUCAGGUAACAUCAAAUCGUACCCCAAACCGACACAGGUGGUCAGGUAGAGAAUACCAAGGCGCUUGAGAGAACUCGGGUGAAGGAACUAGGCAAAAUGGUGCCGUAACUUCGGGAGAAGGCACGCUGAUAUGUAGGUGAAGUCCCUCGCGGAUGGAGCUGAAAUCAGUCGAAGAUACCAGCUGGCUGCAACUGUUUAUUAAAAACACAGCACUGUGCAAACACGAAAGUGGACGUAUACGGUGUGACGCCUGCCCGGUGCCGGAAGGUUAAUUGAUGGGGUUAGCGCA